UGUGGGAGCUGGUGGGGGUUAAGUUAGGAGAGGCUUCUCAUCUGUGUUGUUGGCGCUUAUUAAAAGCAUGAUGCAUAAAAUCCCAGGUUGUCAGAAAAGUAUGCAGGAGGCUCCUGCCGGCUGCUGCACAUUCAUUCACCACCUGAUAGAAAAGCAGACAGGAGCCGCCGUGCAGACACAGAACAGGACAGAGAAACCCCGAAAACCAGCUGACAGCAGUGAGUCUGACUGAAGGAAAACCGGUGGAAAUACAUGGAGCAGGACAGGCAGAAUAAGCUGCUCCUGUCUGCUGGGACUCUGGUUUGAUCCAUGAGGAAACAAAAGCUGCUCUUCUGGAAGGAAGCUGGUGACCAGACAAUCCACUCAACGUGUCUUGGACGUCACAUGAUAGUGGAAUACACCUGACCUCCAGUGAGGAUGUAUUCAGCUUCAAUGCCACUUCAUGGGAAACGACCACAAGCCUCCAGCCAGAUGCUUGUGUCCUCUCCCUGACAUCAUUUUCACGGAUUCCCGGGGAAGAAUGAUGAAGUCCAUGUCAUGUAGUUCUGUCAUGCUGCUUUUAUAUUUUCCUUAACUUCAGUUGUUCUUGUAUUUGUAGCCUUGUAUGAACAAAAAGCAGUCAGACAGGACAAAUGAUAGGCCAGGUGAUAUCUGCAGGUAAAUCUGAGCAGGAGUUAUGGGUAGAGCAGGUCAAAGUUCAGUCACUUUAUUUCUAUCACUCAUUGAUGAGUCUUUUAAUACAUGGGAAAACUGUACAAAUAGGAUUGAAUUAUAUUCUCACAAGCUGCAGGUUUUAAUCAUCAAUUCUAGGUUGAGCCAUAUAUUUCUGUAAAUCUGUUAGCAGGCUCCAAAGAAGUAUGAGGAGUUUUGGUUGCCCCCUUUCUUAUGUUUGAAUUUUGAAUUUUUGAGUUCACAGGUUCAGAGACAUAAACUACCAUUCAAAUGUUUAGGGUCACUUAGAAAUGUCCUUAUUUUAGAAAUAAAAGCAGCUUUUUUCAAUGAAGAUAACAUUAAAUGAAUGAUAAAUCCAGUCUAGACAUUGUUAAUGUGGUAAAUGACUAUUCUAGCUGGAAACAGCUGAUUUUUAAUGGAAUAUCUCCAUAGAGGUACAGAGGAACAUUUCCAGCAACCGUCACUCCUGUGUUCUAAUGCUACAUUGUGUUAGCUAAUGGUGUUGAAAGGCUAAUUGAUGAUUAGAAAACCCUUGUGUAAUUAUGUUAGCACAUGGAUAAAAGUGUGAGUUUUCAUGGAAAACCCCAAACUUUUGGACAUUAGAGUACAUCUUCUUCCCUGCAUGUGACACAUAUGAAGUGUUUUUGACUUUUAAAGAUUCCCUGGUCAAAAUCAACAUGUGCAGAGUUCCUAUCAUUUUUUUCAUUGCGCUCUACAUCACCAGCUAACCUACACUUUCUCUUCUCACUUCCACCUCAUCCUGUUCUGUGGUGUGUGGGUCAGCCUGCUUCAGUCAGCUGCUCCCUCCACCUCUCUUGUUUUCUGAUGAUCUAUGUAUCACCAUCUCCAUAUCUGAUGUUGCAAAUUUCACAUGGUAGUUGUGUAAGGCACAUAAAUCCUAACAACUAGAGGUCUGCCCUGAGCACCUCCACAUCGUCAAACGUGACACCACUUCUGUUAACAUCAGCUGAUGGCCUGAGGGGCAGCAUCAUGUGUGGAGCUGCUGCAGACUUGUACUCAUGUGAAGUCAUUUCAAGAUGUAUUAUUUGGCUAUUUGAACAUUACUCAUGCAAGGCUUUCCACUGGAUAUUGAUUCAGGAAAGCAUCUGAACAGUGUUAGCAGAGCAGAUGGCGGCUGCAGAUGGCGAUGCUGUGAAUUGCAGAUAUCUGUAAUGAGAAAUCCUAUUCACACAAGCAAUACAAGUUAUGUCUUUUCUCCUGGAAAAAUACCAUUGUAGAUAUAUAAAACACUCUUUGUUACUGAGAAGAACUGAAUUACAGAUAUCUGCGAUAUAUAUACAGUCUAGUGAUUGAAUGUUAAAGCAGUUUGCUCUGUGUGUUGGACCUGAAAUACUUCUUCACUAUAAUGUCACUUCCUUGGCCUAUAGAUGUUCACUACUGUUCAAAAGUUUGGGGUCACCCAGGCAAUUUCAUGUUUUCCAUGAAAACUCGCACUUUUAUUCAUGACAGAACUUAUUUAUAACAUAACUGCACAAGGAUUUUCUAGUCCAUUAAAAAUCAGCCAUUUCCAGCUACAAUAGUCAUUUACCACAUUAACAAUGUCUAGACUGGAUUUAAGAUUCAUUUGAUGUUAUCUUCAUUGAAAAAAAAACUGCUUUUCUUUUUUAAAAAAAGGACAUUUCUAAAUGUCCACAAACUUUGAACAGUGGUGUGUGUGUGUGUGUGUGUGUGUGUGUGUGUGUGUGUGUGUGUGUGUGUGUGUGUGUGUGUGUGUGUGUGUGUGUGUGUGUGUGUGUGUGUGUGUGUGUGUGUGUGUGUGUGUGUGUUUGUGGCCACUUAGAAAUGUCCUUAUUUUUAAAAGAAAAAGAAAUAUAUAUAUAUAUAUAUAUGUAUACACACACACACACACACACACACACACACACCACUGUUCAAAAGUUAUACAUGCAGUUUUUUGCAGCUUCAAAUACAAAUUAUAUAAAAUUCAUGUCUUUAAAAUGAAACAUUACACAUCGCGACCUACAGAACACAUGCUUACACAUGCACGGUGGUAAUGGACAUGAAAUGUGUGACAUUAAAUAUGAAAUUCAUUUUUUCACAAGAACAAAUAUUAUGUGUCAAUAUAAUCUUAUUGAGUGGUGAAUUUCCAAAAACGAUGAAUGAAUUAUAAUGUGAACAUGUUUACAUGACACAUUUGCAUGUUUUGAUGUGACUUUUUUAAAAAAAAGCUUGAGUUGAUGUGGUUGAUUAAAUAUCAAAUAUCACAAUGUUCGUAAUCAUAGUCAUCUAUGUGAAGUAUUCUCCUUAAGUGACGUUUUUUAGAAACCUCCAGACUGAAAACCAGUUUUGAUCCAGAGCUGUCCAGUUCAUUUCCCUCCUGAACACACAAACAGACUCACUGUGUACAAUAAAGAACUGAGUCUGGCACUGGACUGCACUUUACCACCAUCUCACUGCUCAUUUGGACUAAUUCUAUUUACAUGUUUAUAUCUUUUGAAGAUUUUGUUUUAUCUGUAUAUAGUUUUUCUGUUUUUAAUCUAUAGCUGGGAGUCACCAAUAGAAAUGUCGCUGUGUG